rnacentral:rRNA from 1 species
UACGGAGGGGGCUAGCGUUGUUCGGAAUUACUGGGCGUAAAGAGCGCGUAGGCGGUUUGCCAAGUCAGGUGUGAAAGCCCAGGGCUUAACCCUGGAACUGCACUUGAAACUGGCAAACUAGAGAGUGGUAGAGGAUAGUGGAAUUCCCAGUGUAGAGGUGAAAUUCGUAGAUAUUGGGAGGAACACCGGAGGCGAAGGCGGCUAUCUGGACCAUUUCUGACGCUGAGGCGCGAAAGCGUGGGGAGCAAACAGG